AUGAACCCUGUGGACCACCCCCAUGGGGGCGGUGAAGUGAAAGCUCCCAUUGGUAGAAAAAAAACCACAACCCCUUGGGGUUAUCCUGCGCUUGGAAGAAGAACUAGGAAAAGGAAAAAAUAUAGCGAUAGUUUUAUUCUUCGUCGCCGUAAGUAA
rnacentral:rRNA from 1 species